UACAGAGGUCUCAAGCGUUGUUCGGAUUCAUUGGGCGUAAAGGGUGCGUAGGUGGCGCUGUAAGUCGGGUGUGAAAUUUCGAGGCUUAACCUCGAAACUGCAUUCGAUACUGCGGUGCUUGAGGACUGGAGAGGAGACUGGAAUUCAUGGUGUAGCAGUGAAAUGCGUAGAGAUCAUGAGGAAGACCAGUGGCGAAGGCGGGUCUCUGGACAGUUCCUGACACUGAGGCACGAAUGCCAGGGGAGCAAACGGG
rnacentral:rRNA from 1 species